rnacentral:rRNA from 1 species
UACAGAGGUCCUGAGCGUUGUUCGGAUUUAUUGGGCGUAAAGGGUGCGUAGGCGGCGGAGUAAGUUGGGUGUGAAAUCCCGGGGCUUAACCUCGGAAUUGCAUUCAAUACUGCUUCGCUAGAGUACUGGAGAGGAGGCUGGAAUUUACGGUGUAGCAGUGAAAUGCGUAGAUAUCGUAAGGAAGGCCGGUGGCGAAAGCGAGCCUCUGGACAGUUACUGACGCUGAUGCACGAAGGCCAGGGGAGCAAACGGG